rnacentral:rRNA from 1 species
GGCACCUGCACAGGUGCUGCAUGGCUGUCGUCAGCUCGUGUCGUGAGAUGUUGGGUUAAGUCCCGCAACGAGCGCAACCCUUAUCCCUAGUUGCCAUCAGGUAAAGCUGGGAACUCUGGGGAGACUGCCGGUGAUAAACCGGAGGAAGGCGGGGAUGACGUCAAGUCCUCAUGGCCCUUACAUCCCGGGCUACACACGUGCUACAAUGGCAUCUACAGUGGGCAGCUAUUCCGCAAGGAUGCGCUAAUCUCCAAAAGAUGUCUCAGUUCGGAUUGUCCUCUGCAACUCGAGGGCAUGAAGGCGGAAUCGCUAGUAAUCGCGGAUCAGCAUGCCGCGGUGAAUACGUUCCCAGGCCUU